AUGGGGGUUGUUUGCCACAGUGUAUCUGCACCAGGAGACCCUGACCCACAGAAAGGCCAAGCUUAUUUCCUCAUCUUCAAGGAGAAUUUACCAAGGGGCAAUUUACCAACCAGCUGCAGUAAAGGAAGCAGAGGCCUGAGCAUCUCUCCAGCACAGGCUGUCAGAGGAGCAGAGGAGACAACCUGCAGGAGGCAUUUCCUGCCCGAAGCACCUGCAGACUCUUGUGUUCAGAGUCAGCCCCAGGUUGACCCCUGAAACUCCAUCUUAUUGAGUGCAUCUCCUGGCAGGAGACUUUGGGAAAUCCCACCAAAGUCAUGGGCAUCUGCCUUCUGAGAACGUAGGCCUGUGGGCCUGGGAAGGCCGAGGGCCUUGGGGAGAUAUCCUUUCAGACUCAUUUCCCUAUUUUUUUUUAGUGUAUAACAAGGGUCCCCAUCUCCGGGAUCUAAGGCCUGAUGAUCUGAGGUGGAGCUGAUGUAAUAAUAACAGAAAUAAAGUGCACAAUAACGGUAAUGUGCUUGAAUCA
rnacentral:lncRNA from 1 species